GAUGAAGAACGCAGCGAAAUGCGAUACUUGAUGUGAAUUGCAGAAUCCCGUGAACCAUCGAGUCUUUGAACGCAAGUUGCGCCCGAAGCCAUCAGGUUGAGGGCACGUCUGCCUGGGCGUCACAUAUCGUUGCCCAAUGCCUAUUGCAGUGCAAUAGGAAUUUCUAGGGCGAAUGAUGGCUUCCCGUGAGCGUUGUUGCCUCGCGGUUGGUUGAAAAUCGAGUCCUUGGUAGGGUGUGCCAUGGUAGAUGGUGGUCGAGUUAGAACGAUACCGAUCAUGUGCAUGCUCCCCAAAAUAUGGCCUCUAUGACCCACACGCGUCUUUUGACGCUCAUGACGAGACCUCAGGUCAGGCGGGGCUACCCGCUGAAUUUAAGCAUAUCAAUAAGCGGAGGA
rnacentral:misc_RNA from 1 species